rnacentral:lncRNA from 1 species
UGAUUGCAGAAAAUGGUGUAAAAAAUAGAGUUUAGUUUGAAAAACUGAGCCAAUAUAUCUAAAUGUUGAUUAAAGUCCUAAUUACAGAAGUUUUUGUCUAAUUGCAGUUGAAAGUCCUAAUUAUAGAAGUUGGAUCAGUAGUUAUGCUAUAGUUGGGGGAGAAGACCCCUUUAUGGUGCUCGAUUUACUAAUAGGAUUUUUUUUUUCUUGUUUAGUUUAGAAGUUGACCUAAGAAACACAAAUACAAACAAAACACAAAAGUUUUGAAGUCCUCUAGAGUUUUGUUCCUAAACUUCCAGAUAGAUAUGUGACAUUAAAAGUAAUUAAACAAAUAUCUCAUUGAUAAAUAUUUUCUUACAAUAGUAUACUAUUGAAAAAAGGGAAAGAAAAUUCGUAUACGUGGCAAGUGAAAUUGGGUGAUAGUUUUAUAGAUUGAAGAACAAUAGUGUUGUAGCUUUGUAUGGGUCUCAGCUAAUAGCAAGCUUAACACCAACGACAAUAAAAUACAGAAAUGUAUUGAAAUAAUUUUGCAGAUUAGCACUUAGGGGCGCGCCAGAAUAUCCUAAUUAUACAAAACAUAAUUACCUUGCUAAAGGCCUUAUGAUAAGCCUUAUUGACAAUGGAAGAGAUAAUACAUUAAAUGCAGCUUGUUAAAGGCCCAUUAUCUUGCAUCUCCUUUUGUGGUGGAGAGCAUUUGAGAUUGGUAAAAGAAAGGAAUUAAUUUGAUAGUAGAUCUAUUUUUUAACAGUUGGAAGAAAUAAGUAGAAAACAUACUUAUGUUGUUGAAAACUAAGAUGAAACCAAACUAAGAUGAAAGGAAGGGUGUUUCGGGGAUCGUAGAGAAAAUAAAAAUUGAGAAUUUUUACCCUGAAGUGAAGGGUUUGAGGAUAGGACUUCAUCUACGGUUUUAAGGUCGAAUUCGUUUCAGCGGCGCAUAGGACCUACUUCUGAGUUGCUCCAUUCCUGUAGGUUAACAUCGAAAACUUCAAAAAGCUUGCCUACAGAGGGAGAGAAAUAGAUAAAGAGUUUGGGUGCGAGUGUUAGUAGGUCCAUUCGGCAGGAAGAACCAGUUGGAGGGGAGGAGGCUGACACGGCAUCAUCCGCUGCUACUUUUUCCCCACCACCACUGCUGCAUGCUCUGCGCUCUGCACCUGCUGCGGAUACUCAUAUCCUCCUCUCACACCCUCCGAUGCCCACGGAGAACCCUCUGAUCAGCUCGGCAUUUCAUCGAACAGGGGCUCGCGAAGAGGUCGGAGAGGGUGCCAGGGAGAGGGCGCGGUGCCGGCGAUAUAUAUAUAUAUA